UACGGGGGGUGCGAGCGUUGUCCGGAAUCACUGGGCGUAAAGGGCGCGUAGGUGGUUUGAUAAGGGUGUGGUGAAAGUCCGGAGCUCAACUCCGGAUCUGCCGUGCCGACUGUCAAACUCGAGGGCUGUAGAGGCAGACGGAAUUCCGGGUGUAGCGGUGGAAUGCGUAGAGAUCAGUAGGAACACCAAUGGCGAAGGCAGCUUGCUGGCAUGUAUCUGACGCUAAGGCACGAAAGCGUGGGGAGCGAACAGG
rnacentral:rRNA from 1 species